GAUGAACGCUGGCGGCGUGCUUAACACAUGCAAGUCGAACGGUGAAGCAGGAGCUUGCUCUUGUGGAUCAGUGGCGAACGGGUGAGUAACACGUGAGCAACCUGCCCCUGACUCUGGGAUAAGCGCUGGAAACGGCGUCUAAUACUGGAUAUGUGAUGUGACCGCAUGGUCUGCAUCUGGAAAGAAUUUCGGUUGGGGAUGGGCUCGCGGCCUAUCAGCUUGUUGGUGAGGUAAUGGCUCACCAAGGCGUCGACGGGUAGCCGGCCUGAGAGUGGGACCGGCCACACUGGGACUGAGACGCGGCCCAGACUCCUACGGGAGGCAGCAGUGGGGAAUAUUGCACAAUGGGCGGAAGCCUUAUGCAGCAACGCCGCGUGAGGGAUGACGGCCUUCGGGUUGUAAACCUCUUUUAGCAGGGAAGAAGCGAAAGUGACGGUACCUGCAGAAAAAGCACCGGCUAACUACGUGCCAGCAGCCGCCGUAA
rnacentral:rRNA from 1 species